GUUUUGUGUCUUCUGUGUCUAACAUUAUAUGUGUUAUGUUCUUUUAAAUUGUGGUAUAUAGCCUGGAUCAGAGAUCAUGGACAAAGGUUUUUACCUGUGUUACUAAGGCUCUUGGAGACUGACCGGUCUAUAAAAAUUUUUAAGUCUCUGAGAGUUCUGUAAGAUUCUGGUGAAACCAUGUCUGUGUAAUCUGGUCCAAAUGUUUGCUCAAUUUCUAUAAGAUUUAAGUUGAUGCAGUAUCAUCUCAGGUUAGUUAAUGGAAGUUUCAUACAAAUAUUUGAGUUAUGAGCGCGCUAUAUAAAUG